rnacentral:rRNA from 1 species
AUGAGUCUACUAUGCUGGAACUGUCGCGGGGCUGGCAAACCCGCGACAGUUCGUGAGCUUCGUGAUCUCACGAGGCAACUUGCCCCCUCUAUAGUUUGUAUUGUCGAGACUCAAAUAGAGGGCUCUAGAGUGGAGAAUAUGGUAGGCUCUUUGGGUUAUGAAAAAAGUUUUGCAGUGAGUAGCUCUGGUAGAAGUGGGGGACUUGGAAUAUUUUGGAAUGAG